UAGGGAAUCUUCGGCAAUGGGGGGAACCCUGACCGAGCAACGCCGCGUGAGUGAAGAAGGUUUUCGGAUCGUAAAGCUCUGUUGUUAAGGAAGAACGUGGGGGAAAAGUGGAAAGUCCCCCCAGGGACGGUACUUACCCAAAAGGGGACGGCUAUCUACGUGCCAGCAGCCGCGGUAAUACGUAGGUCCCGAGCGUUGUCCGGAUUUAUUGGGCGUAAAGCGAGCGCAGGCGGUUAGAUAAGUCUGAAGUGAAAGGCAGUGGCUCAACCAUUGUAGGCUUUGGAAACUGUUUAACUUGAGUGCAGAAGGGGAGAGUGGAAUUCCAUGUGUAGCGGUGAAAUGCGUAGAUAUAUGGAGGAACACCGGUGGCGAAAGCGGCUCUCUGGUCUGUAACUGACGCUGAGGCUCGAAAGCGUGGGGAGCGAACAGGAUUAGAUACCCUGGUAGUCCACGCCGUANCGAUGAGUGCUAGGUGUUAGGUCCUUUCCCGGGACUUAGUGCCGCAGCUAACGCAUUAAGCACCUNCCGCCUGGGGAGUACGACCGCAAGGUUG
rnacentral:rRNA from 1 species